rnacentral:rRNA from 1 species
ACAGGUGCUGCAUGGCUGUCGUCAGCUCGUGUUGUGAAAUGUUGGGUUAAGUCCCGCAACGAGCGCAACCCUUAUCCUUUGUUGCCAGCGGUUCGGCCGGGAACUCAAAGGAGACUGCCGGUGAUAAACCGGAGGAAGGUGGGGAUGACGUCAAGUCAUCAUGGCCCUUACGGCCAGGGCUACACACGUGCUACAAUGGCGCAUACAAAGAGAAGCGACCUCGCGAGAGCAAGCGGACCUCAUAAAGUGCGUCGUAGUCCGGAUUGGAGUCUGCAACUCGACUCCAUGAAGUCGGAAUCGCUAGUAAUCGUAGAUCAGAAUGCUACGGUGAAUACGUUCCCGGGCCUUGUACACACCGCCCGUCACACCAUGGGAGUGGGUUGCAAAAGAAGUAGGUAGCUUAACCUUCGGGAGGGCGCUUACCACUUUGUGAUUCAUGACUGGGGUGAAGUCGUAACAAGGUAGGCGUAGCGAG